UGAGUAACCUGCCCUUAACUCUGGGAUAAGCCUGGGAAACUGGUCUAAUACCGGAUAUGACUCCUCAUCGCAUGGUGGGGGGUGGAAAGCUUUUUUGUGGUUUUGGAUGGACUCGCGGCCUAUCAGCUUGUUGGUGAGGUAAUGGCUCACCAAGGCGACGACGGGUAGCCGGCCUGAGAGGGUGACCGGCCACACUGGGACUGAGACACGGCCCAGACUCCUACGGGAGGCAG
rnacentral:rRNA from 1 species